AAUGAGCCUGCGAGUUGUGGUGUCUGGCAAGGUUAAGCAAACGCGAAGCCGUAGCGAAAGCGAGUCUGAAUAGGGCGCUUAGUCAGAUGCUGCAGACCCGAAACGAAGUGAUCUAUCCAUGAGCAAGUUGAAGCUAGUGUAAGAACUAGUGGAGGACUGAACCCAUAGGCGUUGAAAAGCCCCGGGAUGACUUGUGGAUAGGGGUGAAAGGCCAAUCAAACUUCGUGAUAGCUGGUUCUCUCCGAAAUAUAUUUAGGUAUAGCGUUGUGUCGUAAUAUAAGGGGGUAGAGCACUGAAUGGGCUAGGGCAUACACCAAUGUACCAAACCCUAUCAAACUCCGAAUACCUUAUAUGUAAUCACAGCAGUCAGGCGGCGAGUGAUAAAAUCCGUCGUCAAGAGGGAAACAACCCAGACUACCAGCUAAGGUCCCUAAAUCUUACUUAAGUGGAAAACGAUGUGAAGUUACUUAAACAACCAGGAGGUUGGCUUAGAAGCAGCCAUCCUUUAAAGAAAGCGUAAUAGCUCACUGGUCUAGUGAUUUUGCGCGGAAAAUAUAACGGGGCUAAAGUAAGUACCGAAGCUGUAGACUUGCGCACAACUUAGAUUAUUUAAGUUUAGAAUAUGAGAAACUAAGUUAUAUGUUUAGUUAUAUUUUUACUGAUUUUUAUAGAGUAAAGAUAGAAAUAAAACUUAGUAAAAUCAGUAAAAAUAUUCUUAGACUAAAGUUAAGUAGUUUAAGUUGUGUGCAAGUGGUAGGAGAGCGUUCUAUUUGCGUCGAAGGUAUACCGGUAAGGAGUGCUGGAGCGAAUAGAAGUGAGCAUGCAGGCAUGAGUAGCGAUAAUUAAUGUGAGAAUCAUUAACGCCGUAAACCCAAGGUUUCCUACGCGAUGCUCGUCAUCGUAGGGUUAGUCGGGUCCUAAGUCGAGUCCGAAAGGGGUAGACGAUGGCAAAUUGGUUAAUAUUCCAAUACCAACAUUAGUGUGCGAUGGAAGGACGCUUAGGGCUAAGGGGGCUAGCGGAUGGAAGUGCUAGUCUAAGGUCGUAGGAGGUUAUACAGGCAAAUCCGUAUAACAAUACUCCGAGAACUGAAAGGCUUUUUGAAGUCUUCGGAUG
rnacentral:rRNA from 1 species